GGCAAAAUAGAUCCGUAACUUCGGAAUAAGGAUUGGCUCUGAGGGUUGGGCCUAAGGGUCUCUUGGACGAAGGAGGUACGGAUAGGAGGAGACUAAGGCUUCGGUUUUGGAUUCUUCCCGUCUGUCCUCCCAAGACCUUGAGAACGUCUUCGGACUUUCCUUAGUGCGUUGAACAACCAACUCAGAACUGGAGCGGACAAGGGGAAUCCGACUGUUU
rnacentral:rRNA from 1 species